CUUAUACCACACCUAGGCCGACAUGUCUUUGUCAUCCACUUUUAUCAAGCAGAACACCCAACAUUUCCCACAGAGGUGUUUGUGGAUGGAGGAGGACAGUGGUCAGGUUCCUUCCUUGCCUCCUUUUGCCCUCAUUUGCUUGGCUGCCGGGACCAAGUGAUCUCCGAUGGCCAGGUGGAGUUUGACAUCUCAGAAGCAGAGGUGGCUGUGACGGUGAAGGUUCCAGAAGGAAAAUCCUUGACACUGGUGUGUUCUGCUUAGCCUUCAGUGUACUCCUUGGUCAGCCAUU
rnacentral:lncRNA from 1 species